rnacentral:rRNA from 1 species
GCAGUCGAGCGGGCGAGGUUGCUUCGGUAACUGAGCUAGCGGCGGACGGGUGAGUAAUGCUUAGGAAUCUGCCUAUUAGUGGGGGACAACAUUCCGAAAGGGAUGCUAAUACCGCAUACGUCCUACGGGAGAAAGCAGGGGCUCUUUAUGACCUUGCGCUAAUAGAUGAGCCUAAGUCGGAUUAGCUAGUUGGUGGGGUAAAGGCCUACCAAGGCGACGAUCUGUAGCGGGUCUGAGAGGAUGAUCCGCCACACUGGGACUGAGACACGGCCCAGACUCCUACGGGAGGCAGCAGUGGGGAAUAUUGGACAAUGGGGGGAACCCUGAUCCAGCCAUGCCGCGUGUGUGAAGAAGGCCUUUUGGUUGUAAAGCACUUUAAGUGGGGAGGAGGCUUACCUGGUUAAUACCUGGGCUAAGUGGACGUUACCCACAGAAUAAGCACCGGCUAACUCUGUGCCAGCAGCCGCGGUAAUACAGAGGGUGCGAGCGUUAACCGGAUUUACUGGGCGUAAAGCGCGCGUAGGUGGUUAAUUAAGUCAAAUGUGAAAUCCCCGAGCUUAACUUGGGAAUUGCAUUCGAUACUGGUUAGCUAGAGUAUGGGAGAGGAUGGUAGAAUUCCAGGUGUAGCGGUGAAAUGCGUAGAGAUCUGGAGGAAUACCGAUGGCGAAGGCAGCCAUCUGGCCUAAUACUGACACUGAGGUGCGAAAGCAUGGGGAGCAAACAGGAUUAGAUACCCUGGUAGUCCAUGCCGUANACGAUGUCUACUAGCCGUUGGGGGAUUUGAUCCUUUAGUGGCGCAGCUAACGCGAUAAGUAGACCGCCUGGGGAGUACGGUCGCAAGACUAAAACUCAAAUGAAUUGACGGGGGCCCGCACAAGCGGUGGAGCAUGUGGUUUAAUUCGAUGCAACGCGAAGAACCUUACCU